rnacentral:tRNA from 6 species
GCCGAAGUGGUGGAAUGGCAGACACAGGGGACUCAAAAUCCCCCGCCCGCAAGGGCAUGUGGGUUCAAGUCCCACCUUCGGCA